rnacentral:rRNA from 1 species
UACGUAGGGGGGCAAGCGUUGUCCGGAUUUAUUGGGCGUAAAGAGCGUGUAGGCGGCUUGGUAGGUCCGCUGUGAAAACUCGAGGCUCAACCUCGAGAUGUCGGCGGAAACCACUUGGCUAGAGUCCGGAAGAGGAGAGUGGAAUUCCCCGGUGUAGCGGUGAAAAUGCGCAGAUAUCGGGGAAGAACACCUAUGGCGAAGGCAGCUCUCUGGGGACGGUACUGACGCU